CAGAGGGUGCAAGCGUUGUUCGGAAUUAUUGGGCGUAAAGGGCGUGUAGGCGGUCUGCUAAGUCAUGUGUGAAAUCCCUCGGCUUAACCGAGGAACGACGCAUGAAACUGGCAAGCUAGAGUACCAAAGAGGGGGGUGGAAUUCCCGGUGUAGCGAUGAAAUGCGUAGAUAUCGGGAGGAACACCGGUGGCGAAGGCGGCCCCCUGGUUGGAUACUGACGCUGAGACGCGAAAGCGUGGGGAGCAAACAGGAUUAGAUACCCUGGUAGUCCACGCUGUAAACGAUGGGCACUAGGUGUCCGGGGUAUUGACCCCCUGGGUGCCGCAGCUAACGCAUUAAGUGCCCCGCCUGGGGAGUACGGUCGCAAGAUUA
rnacentral:rRNA from 1 species